rnacentral:rRNA from 1 species
GGUUGUUCAAACUUCUUACUGAGGAUGGUGUUUGGCAAACUAUAUUGCGCAACAAGUACCUAGGCCAAAAGGCGGUGUCUCAGGCUUAUUGGAAACCUGGUGACUCACACUUUUGGGCUGGCCUAAUGGUGGCAAAGAAACAUCUUUUUCGCUUUGGCUCUUUCGCGAUAAAGGAUGGGUCAGAGGUUCGUUUCUGGGAAGACAUAUGGCUAGGCAAUGCCAGUCUUCGAGAGCAAUACCCAGCCUUAUACGCCAUUGCUCGCGAUAAGAGUAAUACUAUUGCGCAAGUGCUUAGUUCAUCCCCACCGAAUAUUUCGUUCAGGCGGGAUUUGAUUGGCCCCCGACUUUUGUCAUGGCAUAAUCUUUUAUCCCGUCUGGAUUCGAUUAAUCUGACACAAGGUCGGGAUGUGUUUCACUGGAAACUCACAACAUCAGGGUCUUACAUAGUAGACUCAAUGUACUGUGCGCUUAUGCAUUCCGAGGUGCCAGUGAAUAAUAGCAAGAAAAUCUGGAAGUCAAAGAUUCCACUAAAAGUUCAAAUCUUUAUGUGGUAUCUUCGUAGGGGAGUUGUGCUAACCAAAGACAAUCUUGCACGGCGCAACUGGCCAGGAAGUAAGAAGUGUUGCUUUUGUGCUCAUGACGAGACAAUCAAACACCUCUUUUUCCAAUGCAAGUUUGCACGGUCUACAUGGUCAGUCAUCCAAAUAGCGUCAAAUUUGUAUCCGCCAACAAGUAUUGCCAAUAUAUUUGGUCAUUGGUUGGACGGAAUUUCAAAUAGUUUCAAAACGCUAAUAAGGGUGGGGGCGUAUGCCUUACUAUGGUCACUUUGGCUAUGUAGAAAUGAUUUGAUUUUUAAUGACAAAAAUGCUUCUCCUCUGCAGGUUAUUUUCCGUUGUACG